CCAGUCGUACCUUCGGGUAAUCAACCUUUCGGGUGCGAUUCUGUGGAGUUUGAGGAGCUUAACACCUUCAUGCUUUGCAUAUUCGUGCCCUUGGGUGUACUUGCCCGUGUGGUUGGUUAACAUCAAUUUCGGGCACCAUAAAAUGGCUGGAGGAAUGUAGCUUUGAUCUUGUAUUGAAGUGUUAUAGCCUUCGGUAGAUGUGGUGAUCGAGAUUGAGGAUUGCAACGGAUACCUUUCGGGGCUACCUGUCUGAUCUCUGAUCGUUGCUUUGGUGCUGAAAGCGUGCUUAUAGUUAUCAAAGUCGAUGGUCAAUAGGUUAGAAUGGGUUAAA
rnacentral:rRNA from 1 species